rnacentral:SRP_RNA from 1 species
GCCAGGUGUGGUGGUGCACACCUGUAAUCCCAACUACUUGGGAGGCUGAGACAGGAGAAUUGCUUGAACCCGGGAGGUGGAGGUUGCAGUGAGCCAAGAGUGCACCAUUGCACUCCAGUCUGGGUGACAGAGCAAGACUCUGUCUCAA